rnacentral:rRNA from 1 species
GAAGGCAUCUUCUUGUUUUUAAAGACCUAGCAAUAGGUAUGCUUAGGGAGGAGCUUGCGUCACAUUAGUUAGUUGGUGGGGUAAAGGCCUACCAAGACUAUGAUGUGUAGCCGGGCUGAGAGGUUGAACGGCCACAUUGGGACUGAGACACGGCCCAAACUCCUACGGGAGGCAGCAGUAGGGAAUUUUCGGCAAUGGAGGAAACUCUGACCGAGCAACGCCGCGUGAACGAUGAAGUAUUUCGGUACGUAAAGUUCUUUUAUUAGGGAAGAAUAAAUGAUGGAAAAAUCAUUCUGACGGUACCUAAUGAAUAAGCCCCGGCUAACUAUGUGCCAGCAGCCGCGGUAAUACAUAGGGGGCAAGCGUUAUCCGGAAUUAUUGGGCGUAAAGGGUGCGUAGGCGGUUAAAUAAGUUUAUGGUCUAAGUGCAAUGCUCAACAUUGUGAUGCUAUAAAAACUGUUUAGCUAGAGUAAGAUAGAGGCAAGUGGAAUUCCAUGUGUAGUGGUAAAAUGCGUAAAUAUAUGGAGGAACACCAGUAGCGAAGGCGGCUUGCUGGGUCUUUACUGACGCUGAGGCACGAAAGCGUGGGGAGCAAACAGGAUUAGAUACCCUGGUAGUCCACGCCGUAAACGAUGAGUACUAAACGUUGGGUAAAACCAGUGUUGAAGUUAACACAUUAAGUACUCCGCCUGAGUAGUACGUACGCAAGUAUGAAACUUAAAGGAAUUGACGGGACUCCGCACAAGCGGUGGAUCAUGUUGUUUAAUUCGAAGGUACCCGAAAAACCUCACCAGGUCUUGACAUGCUUCUGCAAAGCUGUAGAAACACAGUGGAGGUUAUCAGUUGCACAGGUGGUGCAUGGUUGUCGUCAGCUCGUGUCGUGAGAUGUUGGGUUAAGUCCCGCAACGAGCGCAACCCUUAUUGUUAGUUACCAGCACGUAAUGGUGGGGACUUUAGCAAGACUGCCAGUGAUAAAUUGGAGGAAGGUGGGGACGACGUCAAAUCAUCAUGCCCCUUAUGACCUGGGCUACAAACGUGAUACAAUGGCUGUUACAAAGGGUAGCUGAAGCGCAAGUUUUUGGCGAAUCUCAAAAAAACAGUCUCAGUUCGGAUUGAAGUCUGCAACUCGACUUCAUGAAGUUGGAAUCGCUAGUAAUCGCGAAUCAGCAU